GAAUCCGGAUCAUGGGGAGACAACUGCUCCCAGCAGUGUAACCAAGGCUGUGGAACACGAUGUAACAUUACCAAUGGGUUAUGUCAGAGAGGAUGCCCUGACGGCUUCGUGGAUGACAGCUGUAAAGCAGUCCCAAUUUCAAACAUGAUGGUCGGGAGAGUCACAGGGAGCGUGACUGGUGUUCUUGUAGCCUGUACCAUUGUUGUUGCAGUAAUCAUCAUUUACAGGAGGCGUCAUCCGUCAACAAGUAAGUCACAGGCCCACGUUUCCCUGUCAGUGAGGACAAUGGGUGACAUUCAACCAGAUGUCGAGGAUCAACAGAGCAAUAUAGAAUAUGAAGCAGAGGACCCGGAAGCUCACAUAGCC